rnacentral:pre_miRNA from 1 species
AAUAGAUGACGCCGUUGAUUUUUUCUCACAUGUUUGACCGUUCGUCUUAUUAAAAAAAAUUAUGUAAUUAUAAUUUAUUUUAUUAUGAGUUGUUUUAUAAUUUAUAGUAUUUUAAGUGUGAUUUAUAUCUUAUGCAUUUGCAUAAAAUUUUUGAAUAAGAUGAAUGGUCAAAUAUGUGAGAAAAAAUUAACGGCGUCAUCUAUU